AUUGAACGCUGGCGGCAGGCCUAACACAUGCAAGUCGAACGAGUGGCGGACGGGUGAGUAAUGUCUGGGAAACUGCCUGAUGGAGGGGGAUAACUACUGGAAACGGUAGCUAAUACCGCAUACCAUCGGAUGUGCCCAGAUGUGAUUAGCUAGUAGGUGGGGUAAAGGCUCACCUAGGCGACGAUCCCUAGCUGGUCUGAGAGGAUGACCGGCCACACUGGAACUGAGAAACGGUCCAGACUCCUACGGGGGGCAGCAGUGGGGAAUAUUGGACAAGGGGCGCAAGCCUGAUGCAGACAUGCCGCGGGUAUGAAGAAGGCCUUCGGGUUGUAAAGUACUUUCAGCGGGGAGGCGUUAACCGAAGAGGAAGCACCGGCUAACUCCGUGCCAGCAGCCGCGGUAAUAC
rnacentral:rRNA from 1 species